rnacentral:lncRNA from 1 species
UCUGGAUCAAACAAUGAAGUCCUUAACAUUACCGAUUUCCGAAAGAAUCACAAAUUAAAUUUAGACAAGAUCUGCUCCUAUUGUGCUAACAACCUUUGCUGCUAGAAUAUAUAUUGAUGGAUCAGGUUUCUUCAGUUUAACAUCAUCCCCUGCAACACAAAGCAACUAAAGAUUUUGAAUGUUGUGCAAUGUCUUUGAUAGCUUCCAACACAACCAACUGCAAAUACAAAGAAUUGAAGUGCAUUUGAAUAAAUCCUGGCCUUACAAAAAGUGUAAGAAAAAACACAUGUCAACGCUUUACAAGACUUGCAAUUCGUCUAGAUGUCACUAAAUUUCUUAUAACCUUGUUACUAGCCAUUAUAAUAUUUCAUUUUAACUAAUGCAUUAUUAUCUUGAAAAUAAGAAAGGCAACUAGGAUGGCUGAUUCAUUCUAUAACUUUGUCAAGAUAACCAAUUAACCAUACACAUUGCUGCACAUUUUGGUGAUUUUUGCCAGUUAACUUCAAAAUAAGCAUGGUAAACAAGAUCAACCAGAUGCAAAAACAAUCAGAACUAUACCGGCAAGGAAGCAGUCCAGACCAUUAAAUCGUUCCUAUAAAACCAUGCAAAUAUGAUAAAUAUGACCUCAACUGAUAAAACAGAACUUUAUGUAAGAAAUAUGAGAAGGAAAACAUAAGCCAAAUGUAACUUACGAGUCCAAUAAGGUUUUCAAGGCACAUCACAACUGAACUUUUAGCUGCAGCAGAGCAAACGGAAAGCUUGAUACCCUACAUCAUUAUACCAAAAUCAACUCGAUUUAUUUUCCGCUCAAAAAUCCUCAAUUUAUGUUUGAAAAUUAGACCCCAUAUUAUGCGAUAUAAUGGGAAUAUUAAACAUGAGGUCACUGAUGUUCAUGUCUUCACAAUAUGAAAAUACUACGGAGUAUUUCAUUGAUGUAAAUUAUGUGACGAAGCAUUCACUCAGCAAGGAAAACACUAGCAUAAAGCAGAAGGCGAUUUUGCAAUAAGUUGUAUUACAGCAUCCUUAGCUUCAUCCAUCAGACGCAAAACACCAGGUCUAGGCUCCACCUAGCAAUACAAAACCGAAAACCAGUAUGGGACAAUGAGCAGAUCAUGUACAAGGUGUUUAAUUUAUAUUGGACAGUGGCAAUGGUAUAUGCUCAGGAAAUUCUCAAUGUAUACACUGCACUUACAGUUCCAGAUUUGAUUAUUUCUUUGAAUCUUUCUGUUUUCCAGUCCUGCAAAACAAGUACUUCUGUAAAAAUCAUGAAGUUCUAAGCUAAUCAAUUUACUGCGGGAUAGAAUGAUAGAUUAUUUGUGGGAAACUGGGGAACAUAUCACAUUCCAACUAAUCUUGUAUUAGACAUGGCUCAAAGCAUUUAUACUUAUACAGGGGAAAGGGUAAUAAAGAAAUACUGCGUUUGAUUUAGAGCCAAGGACAAACAAAAGCAUACCUGAAUAAUGUCAAUUAACUGCUCCUUAUCAGAGUCGCUUGAAGGUUGUGUCUCAAAUAUUUUUGAAGAUGGCCACCCAUGUUCCCCAAAGUACCUAGCAAAUCCAAAGCAAUUCAUAACAAUUAUUCACGAAUAUGUCAACUAACUGCUCUGCAUGUGCUGGAACAUGCAGCAUCAGUUUGUCCUGUGUGAACGAACUUGUGGCAUUAACACACACAUGAAUCUACCGACCAGCUACAGUCUACCCUUGCAUUCAAAGUUGUGAGCCCUCCAUUGCAGGAACGUCCUAAUACGCUCAAGCUUGUGAAACCGGCAUAUGUGUUUCAAAAUUUCGAGCAACAAAUGGUGGGUGGUGGCUGGGUGCAAACUCAAAUCCCAGUGCACACUGGUUCUCAACCCAGAAAAAGAAAGAACAGUUUGCUUACGCAAAACAUCAAACAAGCAGAGUGCACAAGGGCACACACCAAAUGCUCGCCCAAGCUAGCGACGAGUUGCCCGUGCAUAGGCAGAUUGCCGCAUACGAAGGAAGCAUCAACCUUGCGGUUGCGGGCGUCCACGUACCAUCUCAUCUUGGGCUUCCCGCCGGUGAUGCGGCUCUGGAGGUCGUUGUUGAAGUCCUCGUCCCAGUGCAGCGGCGCGGCGGCGUCGGGCGGGCAGCGGACCCCGAAGUGCGCGAAGGCGUCGUUGUAGGCCUGCAUGUGGAAGUGCUCCGACUCCAGUAUGACGCCGUCGCAGUCGAAGAUGAGGGCGUCGAGCGACGGCGGCGGGGAGGAGGCCGAGGCGGAGACGACGAGCCGGGACGCACGGCGUGGGCGGAGGAAAGGGAGGCCGGAGGGGGAGCGGCGAGCCGCGGCGGCCGUGUAGAAGGAGGUGUGGAUGAGAAGGGAAGUGGAAGCCAUGUUGGAAAUUUGGAUUGAGUGUUUGGGUGCAGAGGAGACUGGGACGGAAUUGGCGCGAAUUGUUCAAGAGUGAGUGGCUGCUUAUGUGGCUCUUUUCCCUUUCUUAUCGCGUAUGAGAGGAGGGAAACGGAGCAGAUUUGAAAUGCUAGAUUCAGAUCUUUCUAGGAAAUUCUAGGUAGUUUCAGAGAAUAAAGUUAUUCUGAUCGGAUUUAUACUAACUUUAUGUCCAGUAAAAAAUACUGUAGGUGCUCCAUAUUCUGCAAGUUGAUCAAGUUGUAUGUAAAAAACAAAAAUUUUAAAUCACGAGGGACUCCUUCUGUCGCUGGUCUGGUGUGGACUCUGGAAGCGUCUAUAGUUUUUCCGUAGGGUCGAUCUGCCCGUCACGGUCAGGGGAAUGGUGCUGGAGGCAGGGCCAUGACAAGUGGAGACGGCCGCGUGCGUCUCAAGGGCCGGGCGGCCAUAGAGUGGCGCCGAUACCACAAUCCUUAAUGUUAUGGUCUACUAAUCGAGAAGUUUUUCUUACCACAUCACCUACCAAUUUGAGUAUGAUGUACAAUUUGUUAAUUUUGAUUUGACAUUGCCGAAUUGUGCUGUGUUAAACUUAUUUUGUAAUCUAUUAUACAAAAAUACACACAAAAGCAAAAAAGAAAAAAAAAAGUUGGUCGAACAAAAAAUAGGCAAAAGUUGGUUGCAAAAUAUUGCUUAUCAUAAUCCACCUCCACGACAAAUACAAGCUUAAUGUUAAAGCUUCGUCGUUUCAGUCAAAAAUUGUGCGAGCUUGCGUAUAGUAGUAUUUUUUUCAAGACGCCGACGACAAAGAAAUAGAAUAUCGUAAAUAAACAACAAUGAACUUAUUUAUUUAGAGUAUAUACUAAUAGUAAAAAAGUCACAGAAACUAGGAUUAGUCACGACAAAAAUAAAGAUUAAGCUAAUCCGGAACAAAACAUAAAUAUUAAGCUAAUUUCAAAAAUAAAGAUUAAACUUGGGGAAGUCGAUCUCCUUCCUACUCGAAGGCCCACGCGUUCUCCUUGCGGAUCUCCGCCUCCUCCUCCGGCGUGAAGUCGUUCUUGAUCCCGAAGAUCUCGCGGACCUCCUCCGGCUUCUUGCCCUUGAUCAUGUCGGCCACCUUCUGUGCGCACAGGUCCAGCAGCCCCUUGAUGUCCAGGUAGUUGGCCGCCAUGAACAGGUUGUACAGCAAGGUCAGGUCCACGUCGAUGAACUCCGCGUCGAAGCUCUUCAUCUCCUCCUCCUCCUUGGACUUGGACGCGUACGCGGCGGCUUCCGAGCCUUCGCCUGAGGUGGCCGCGGCGGCUUCCGUGCUGUCACCGGAGGCGGCGGCCGCGGGCGCGUGCUUGUUGAGGUACUCGAGGAUCUUGGCGAGGGUCUUGGCGUCGACGUUGGGGAGCGGGAUGUUGCCGCCGGCGCAGUCGUCGUCCUCCAUGGACAGGGCGACUGUUCGCGACAGGCUCGCCGCCGCCUCGGACAGCUCGAAGCUCUCGCCGUCCUGGCUGAUCAGCGUGACCAUCUUCGUCUCGGCGGCGCCGCUCUCUGCUGCCAUCGAUUUCGAUCGCUAGCUGAAGGCUCGAGGUCGUCGAGUCGGGUUACUUUGAAGGGGCUUGGAGCGUACGUGUGAUUGAUUGCUUUGGUGAUAGGCGGCUUGAGGGUCAAUUGGGGGAGUAUUUGUAGGCGCCAGCAGGUAGAGCUAGGGUGGACACCGAGACGGACUCGAGUUGCUGUUGUUUUACGAUCGGAGAACGGAGACGAAGAGGUCUUGUUUCCGAGCUCGAGGUUGACUCUGCUAGCUGCCUUCCCUGAGAUUUUAUUUUUCAUCUGAACAUGUCGGCUAAGCAGAUUUUUUUGCCAAUCCUUUCAUGAAUUUAUAUUGUAUAUAAAAUAAUUAAAUCACUCCAAAGUUCUAAUCCGUAUGAUCCAAAGGGGACAUAAAUUCAAAGGAUUUAGAAAAGACAUAUAUAUGAGGAGAGAUCGGGGUGUGCCGGUUUGCUCUAACGAGCCGUGCCAUUGAGUGGGUGGUGAAAAUUCAAAAUGUUUUGUAGCUGAAACCGUUUAUCCAAUUUAUGAUCUGUCUUCACCCUCGAUUGCAGCUUGACGAUUAGAACAAAUAUGAUGGGACAGAAUCGACCGCAUAAGCAAAAUCAUAUAACCUUCUUCACUUUAAGAAAAUAUUUUGUGCCAACAAUUGUAUUUUUACUUCACACAACAUUGGUUCCCCAGCAGUUGCAGCCUGUAGUUGACCACUUGCUAGUUGCUUGAAACAUCCUAUGCACAAUAGAGCAGUCUGGCCAAUGUUUUGGAAGCUAAUAUCCAUUGGUAAUCAAAGUAUAUUUUUUGUCUGUAUCUAACAUCAACCAUUAAGUAUUCAACAAAAUGACAGCCUUUGGUUCACCAGCAGUACUACCAACCACCGCAGCCGAAACAAAUGUUUGCUCCGUCUUUAUUUACAAAGUAUACCGAGAUUCACGAAGAAUUAAUGUACCGGAGUAUGCUCACUUGAUCUUUGUUCCCAAAUACUUUGGUGGGUCUUGAAGAUUCCAGGAGGCCCAAAUAAGAUGGAUAACAAUGCAGCUUGAAUAUUGACCUGAAAGCCAUUAGGGGCAUAACUUGGACAAUGUUUUCCACCACUAUACCCCCAGAUUUACCGAAAGCUAUGCAAGUCUCACAGAAAGUGCUGAUAUGGGUCUAAACCGAAGAGAAUGGUACCAGAUAGAGAAUUGAACUUACCAUGGUGCAUCACACAUGAAAAAACGGUCAAUGCAUUUCCUGAGGAAAGCAAGAAACUGCACUAUCCAGUGACAACAGCUUCUUGGAGCAGCAGCCUGAGGUCCUCAAACCUGCAAAGAAUUAACAGGUGUGGUUUAUCUGAUGAAUAAAAUCUAAAUAGACAAAAUCAGCACCUACCUCACAUUACUAAGGUCAGGAUAGGUUGCAAUGGCAUCCUUGAAAUCCUAUGGAAAAUUUUAGGAGAUCAGAAUGUGGAAAUGUCACACAAAACAAGAAUUUGUAGCUAAGCUCGAUCUUACUUGGUUAGCAGUUGAAGGUGUAUAUGUUAUUAUACAUGACAUCCCUGCUCCUUUAGCUGCCUAUCAAAAGAAAGGAAUUUCUUGCGUUCAAAAGUACAAAUUAGUUGAUUAAAAACUUGAAAGACUUACUUGUAGUCCAAUAACACUGUCUUCUACUACAAGGCAGUUCUUGCUUUCCACACCUAAUUUCUGGAUCAAACAAUAAAUUCUUUAACAUGACUGAUUUUAAAAGUUGAAAACAUCUGUUUCUGUUGUGUUCACUACCUUUGCUGCUGUAAUAUAUAUUGAUGGAUCAGGUUUCUUCAGUUUAACAUCAUCGCCUGCAACACAACGUAAUUAAGAAUUUUGGGUGUUGUUGAAUGUCUUUUAUAUCUCCCAGAACAAAAACGGUUGCCAAAUAUAAAUAACUUAAGUGCAUUUGAAUAGAAUCUGGCCUUAGAAAAAUGUAAGCCAAAACCUUUACAAGACUUGCAAUUCGUCCCGAUGUCCCUACAUUUCGUAACUUUUGUUACUAGCCAUUAUAAUAUUUCAUUGGAACUGACGCAUUAUUAUCUUUUAAACCAACUAGGAUGACUGAUUUGAAAACUUUGUAAAGAUAAGCAUGCACGUUGCUUCACAUUUUGGUGAUUAUUGCCAGUUAACUUCAAAGCAAGCAUGGUAAACAAGACUAACAGGAUGCAAAAACAACCAGAACUAU